rnacentral:rRNA from 1 species
GAUGAACGCUGACAGAAUGCUUAACACAUGCAAGUCUUUGGCGAAGCUGUGCUUGCACAGCCUAGCCAAGGCGGACGGGUGAGUAACGCGUAAGGAACUUGCCCUGCAGUCAGGGAUAACAGACGGAAACGACUGAUAAGACCUGGUAAAGUCAGGCGGACUCAUGUCCAGCCUGAUGAAAAGUGAUGCUGCAGGAGAGCCUUGCGUCCUAUUAGCUUGUUGGUGGGGUAACGGCCCACCAAGGCGAUGAUAGGUAGCCGGCCUGAGAGGGUGGACGGCCACAAGGGGACUGAGAUACGGCCCUUACUCCUACGGGAGGCAGCAGUGGGGAAUAUUGGACAAUGGGGGCAACACUGAUCCAGCAAUUCUGUGUGAACGAUGAAGGUUUUCGGAUUGUAAAGUGCUUUCAGCAGGGAAGAAAAAAAUGACGGUACCUGCAGAAGAAGCGACGGCUAAAUACGUG